rnacentral:RNase_P_RNA from 1 species
CGAGUUGGCCGGGCGGCCGCGGGUCGUCGCUGAGACGACACGAGGAAAGUCCGGACUUCACAGAGCAGGGUGGUUGCUAACGGCAACCCGGGGUGACCCGCGGGAAAGUGCCACAGAAAACAGACCGCCACCGGAAACGGUGGUAAGGGUGAAACGGUGCGGUAAGAGCGCACCAGCAUUCCGGGUGACCGGAAUGGCUCGGCAAACCCCACCCGAAGCAAGGCCAAGAAGACCGCACGUGGUGCGGUUGCGCAGACGCUUGAGGGUUGCUCGCCCGAUGUCUGCGGGUAGGCCGCUUGAGGCACCCGGUGACGGGAUGUCCAGAUGGAUGGUCGCCGCCUCGUCGCCGUGAUGGUCCGCGGCGGUGAGGAACAGAAUCCGGCUUACAGGCCAACUCGUUCG